rnacentral:rRNA from 1 species
UACGGAGGGUGCGAGCGUUGUCCGGAAUCACUGGGCGUAAAGGGCGCGUAGGCGGCUCGACAAGUCAAUGGUGAAAGCCCGAGGCUCAACUUCGGGUCGGCCACUGAUACUGGUGGGCUUGAGCACUGUAGAGGCAGGUGGAAUUCCGGGUGUAGCGGUGGAAUGCGUAGAGAUCCGGAAGAACACCGGUGGCGAAGGCGGCCUGCUGGGCAGUAGCUGACGCUGAGGCGCGACAGCGUGGGGAGCAAACAGG